CUAGCUUGCUAGAAGAUGACGAGCGGCGGACGGGUGAGUAAUACUUAGGAAUCUACCUAGUAGUGGGGGAUAGCACGGGGAAACUCGUAUUAAUACCGCAUACGACCUACGGGAGAAAGGGGGCAGUUUACUGCUCUCGCUAUUAGAUGAGCCUAAGUCGGAUUAGCUAGAUGGUGGGGUAAAGGCCUACCAUGGCGACGAUCUGUAGCUGGUCUGAGAGGAUGAUCAGCCACACCGGGACUGAGACACGGCCCGGACUCCUACGGGAGGCAGCAGUGGGGAAUAUUGGACAAUGGGGGAAACCCUGAUCCAGCCAUGCCGCGUGUGUGAAGAAGGCCUUUUGGUUGUAAAGCACUUUAAGCAGUGAAGAAGACUCUGUGGUUAAUACCCACAGACGAUGACAUUAGCUGCAGAAUAAGCACCGGCUAACUCUGUGCCAGCAGCCGCGGUAAUACAGAGGGUGCAAGCGUUAAUCGGAAUUACUGGGCGUAAAGGGAGCGUAGGUGGCUCGAUAAGUCAGAUGUGAAAUCCCCGGGCUCAACCUGGGAACUGCAUCUGAUACUGUCGUGCUAGAGUAUGUGAGAGGAAGGUAGAAUUCCAGGUGUAGCGGUGAAAUGCGUAGAGAUCUGGAGGAAUACCGAUGGCGAAGGCAGCCUUCUGGCAUAAUACUGACACUGAGGCUCGAAAGCGUGGGUAGCAAACAGGAUUAGAUACCCUGGUAGUCCACGCCGUAAACGAUGUCUACUAGUCGUUGGGUCCCUUGAGGACUUAGUGACGCAGCUAACGCAAUAAGUAGACCGCCUGGGGAGUACGGCCGCAAGGUUAAAACUCAAAUGAAUUGACGGGGGCCCGCACAAGCGGUGGAGCAUGUGGUUUAAUUCGAUGCAACGCGAAGAACCUUACCUGGUCUUGACAUAUCUAGAAUCCUGCAGAGAUGCGGGAGUGCCUUCGGGAAUUAGAAUACAGGUGCUGCAUGGCUGUCGUCAGCUCGUGUCGUGAGAUGUUGGGUUAAGUCCCGCAACGAGCGCAACCCUUGUCCUUAGUUACCAGCGGGUUAAGCCGGGAACUCUAAGGAUACUGCCAGUGACAAACUGGAGGAAGGCGGGGACGACGUCAAGUCAUCAUGGCCCUUACGACCAGGGCUACACACGUGCUACAAUGGUAGGUACAGAGGGCAGCUACACAGCGAUGUGAUGCGAAUCUCAAAAAGCCUAUCGUAGUCCAGAUUGGAGUCUGCAACUCGACUCCAUGAAGUAGGAAUCGCUAGUAAUCGCGGAUCAGAAUGCCGCGGUGAAUACGUUCCCGGGCCUUGUACACACCGCCCGUCACACCAUGGGAGUUGAUUGCACCAGAAGUGGAUAGC
rnacentral:rRNA from 1 species